AUUGAACGCUGGCGGCAGGCCUAACACAUGCAAGUCGAGCGGAUGAAGGGAGCUUGCUCCUGGAUUCAGCGGCGGACGGGUGAGUAAUGCCUAGGAAUCUGCCUGGUAGUGGGGGAUAACGUCCGGAAACGGGCGCUAAUACCGCAUACGUCCUGAGGGAGAAAGUGGGGGAUCUUCGGACCUCACGCUCUCAGAUGAGCCUAGGUCGGAGUAGCUAGUUGGUGGGGUAAAGGCCUACCAAGGCGACGAUCCGUAACUGGUCUGAGAGGAUGAUCAGUCACACUGGAACUGAGACACGGUCCAGACUCCUACGGGAGGCAGCAGUGGGGAAUAUUGGACAAUGGGCGAAAGCCUGAUCCAGCCAUGCCGCGUGUGUGAAGAAGGUCUUCGGAUUGUAAAGCACUUUAAGUUGGGAGGAAGGGCAGUAAGUUAAUACCUUGCUGUUUUGACGUUACCAACAGAAUAAGCACCGGCUAACUUCGUG
rnacentral:rRNA from 1 species